rnacentral:rRNA from 1 species
AGAGUUUGAUCAUGGCUCAGAGUGAUCGCUGGCGGCGUGCUUAACACAUGCAAGUCGAGCGGAUUUUGGCAGCGUAUCGCCAGAAUUAGCGGCAGACGGGUGAGUAAUACUUGGGCAAUCUGCCCUUGAGCGGGAAACAACCGGCCGAAAGGCUGGCUAAUGUCCCAUAAGACCACGGGAUGGCAUCAUCCAGGGGUCAAAGCUCCGUAAGGGGCGCUUGAGGAGGAGCCCGAGUCCUAUCAUGGUAGUUGGUGAGGUAACGGCUCACCAAGCCUUUGACGGGUAGCCGGCCUGAAAGGGUGAUCGGCCACACUGGCACUGAGACACGGGCCAGACUCCUACGGGAGGCAGCAGUGGGGAAUUUUGGACAAUGGGGGCAACCCUGAUCCAGCGACGCCGCGUGAAGGAUGAAGGUCUUCGGAUUGUAAACUUCUUUUGGAGGGGAUGAAUGCCCUGGUGAAUAGCCAGGGGUGACAGUACUCUCGGAAUAAGCCACGGCUAACUACGUGCCAGCAGCCGCGGUAAUACGUAGGUGGCAAGCGAUACUCGGAAUCACUAGGCGUAAAGCGCAGGUAGGCGGUUUGGUAAGUCUUUUGUGAAAGCUCCUGGCUUAACUGGGAGAGGUCAAAGGAAACUACCGGACUAGAGUGUGGUAGGGGAUACUGGAAUUCCUGGUGUAGCGGUGAAAUGCGUAGAUAUCAGGAGGAAUACCUAUGGCGAAAGCAGGUAUCUGGGCCAUCACUGACGCUGAGCUGCGAAAGCUAGGGGAGCAAACAGGAUUAGAUACCCUAGUAGUCC